AGUGAACGCUGGCGGUAGGCCUAACACAUGCAAGUCGAACGGCAGCACAGUAAUAGCUUGCUCUUACGGGUGGCGAGUGGCGGACGGGUGAGGAAUACAUCGGAAUCUACUUUUUCGUGGGGGAUAACGUAGGGAAACUUACGCUAAUACCGCAUACGACCUACGGGUGAAAGCAGGGGAUCUUCGGACCUUGCGCGAUUGAAUGAGCCGAUGUCGGAUUAGCUAGUUGGCGGGGUAAAGGCCCACCAAGGCGACGAUCCGUAGCUGGUCUGAGAGGAUGAUCAGCCACACUGGAACUGAGACACGGUCCAGACUCCUACGGGAGGCAGCGGGGGGGAAUAUUGGACAAUGGGCGCAAGCCUGAUCCAGCCAUACCGCGUGGGUGAAGAAGGCCUGCGGGUGGUAAAGCCCUUUUGUUGGGAAAGAAAAGCAGCAGGUUAAUACCCCGCUGUUCUGACGGUACCCAAAGAAUAAGCACCGGCUAACUUCGU
rnacentral:rRNA from 1 species